GCUGAUAUGUACACCAAUUUGAGGUUUGAAAACUGUCAAUUGUUCAGUUCAACAGUGCCAAAUGAUUAAAAGAAAUCGGGAUGGAUGAAAGUAUUUGGGUAUAAAUUCAGAAAAAAAACAGAACCACAAUAGGGGCCCCCUUUUAGAGUUUAAUUUGUAGUGAGUCAGUACACAUUGAGCAUUUCGGAAAACGCAUAAUUAAAUGGAAGCGAUGGAAACAGUUCAGCAAGGGCGACCACAGUUUUGGGUGGGGUUAAAUGGUAGAGCAGUUCUGGGAUGUCCCAACCACAGAACUAAACUUCGCCCCAUUAGAUUAUGUAGCAUUAAUUUUUUGUUAUUUUAUUUGCAAUUAUUUAGCUUAUCUACUUCAAUGUUUAUUUUUCAGGAUAGUCGUUUUGUAUUUCAUGUAUUCUAAUAAAUGUCACUUAUUAUUA